CUACGGGGUGCUGCAGUGAGGAAUAUUGCACAAUGGAGGAAACUCUGAUGCAGCAACGCCGCGUGGAGGAUGACGCAUUUCGGUGUGUAAACUCCUUUUAUAUGUCAAGAAAAUGACGGUAGCAUAUGAAUAAGCUCCGGCUAACUCCGUGCCAGCAGCCGCGGUAAUACGGAGGGAGCAAGCGUUACUCGGAAUCACUGGGCGUAAAGGACGCGUAGGCGGGAUAGAAAGUCAGGUGUGAAAUCCUAUGGCUCAACCAUAGAACUGCACUUGAAACGUCUAACCUAGAGUAUGGGAGGGGAAGAUGGAAUUAGUGGUGUAGGGGUAAAAUCCGUAGAUAUCACUAGGAAUACCAAAAGCGAAGGCGAUCUUCUGGAACAAUACUGACGCUAAGGCGUGAAAGCGUGGGGAGCAAACAGGAUUAGAUACCCGUGUAGUC
rnacentral:rRNA from 1 species